CAACGAUGACAGACAGCACCAUGGAAAUACCAAAGCUGGUGGUAUAUUCCAGUGUUCGCCAAGAUAGCCGCCCCGUUACAUACGCUGCUGAGCAGGACUGCUGCCUUGGGAAAGAAAACGGCCAUAGUAGAAUGGACCCCACAAUGUCAGACCGCCUUUGAGGAGCUGAAGAUGGCGCUGGCUUCCUGGAGUCAUGAGACUCAAAUUGCCCCAGUACAGGCGGAACCUCUGGGUGAAGGAGGAGCACCCCCAUCCAUGGAGAACACUGAGACCCAAGUGUCCAACUUCCCGUGGGCUUCGAGUGGUAGAGAAAGGAUCCAGUCAUUCAGCUGGUUCAUACAUGGCGGGAACUAAGGAACCCCCCCCCCCCCCACCUCCAGAGGUUCAGACCCAUACUACAGCACAACCAGAGGCUCGGAGGUUGUUACAGGAGUGGGACCAGCUGUGUGUGUGGAAGGAGAUGUCCUAGUGAGGAAGGGAGUUGGAAUGACUACGGGAGAGGCCCGGAUAAAGAUUAUGGUUCCACGGUGCCAGUGCCACCGGGUUGGGAGGAGUACCACGAGGCUUUUGAACACGUCGCCAGUGCAAAGAUUCUGUUAGUGCUUCGACAGAGGUUCUACUGGUACAGCAUUGGGGAAGAUGCCAACCGAUGGACCACAGAGUGCCCCCAGUGUAUUUGUAACAAGGCCCGACCGGAGAGGAGAACCCCCCUUGUCUCUAUUGCCACUUCUUACCCUAUAGAGAUAGUGGUGAAUGAUUAUUUUUUCUUUAGACCAUGCUAGAGAUACUCCCCCUUAUACACUAGUCAUGGUCAACUUGAUUUCUAGAUUCACUGCGGCCAUACCCACUGACCACAGAAACAGCUCUAAGGAAAGUCAUAAUUCAGCCUUUUGGAUGUUCGGAGCAAAUCCACUUAGAACGUGGGGCCGCAUUCUAGCCAGAAUUGGUGCAAGAACUAAACUUGUAUGGCUUUUGGAAAAACUGCA